CGCCUGUUUAUCAAAAACAUGUCUGUUUGAAGUUAUAAAAAGUCUAGCCUGCCCACUGAUAGUAUUAAAUUUAAUGGCCGCGGUAUUAAUGACCGUGCAAAGGUAGCAUAAUCAUUAGUCUUUUAAUUGAAGGCUCGUAUGAAUGGCUGGACAAAAGGAAAACUGUCUUCUUUAAUAAAGAUUGAAUUUAACUUUUGAGUGAAAAGGCUUAAAUACACCAAAGGGACGAUAAGACCCUAUAAAACUUUAUAGAGAAUAAAAUUAGAUUGAAGUAGUUGUUAAAGGUUAAGGUUUAUAUAAUUAUUGGGUUGGGGCAACAAGAGUAAAAUUGUAGAUAACUGCUUUAUGUUUAUAUACAAAUAUGUUUGUGUUUAGGUUCAUGAUCCUUAUUUUAAAGAUUUAAAGACUAAGUUACUUUAGGGAUAACAGCGUU
rnacentral:rRNA from 1 species